UAUUAUAAUAAAUGUGAAUUUAUGUACUUGAGUAGUAAUAGGUAAGGUCUUGAAACUCAAAGAAUUUGGCGGUGUUUUAGUCCCUUCAGAGGAAUCUGUCCUAUAAUUGAUAAUACACGAUUUUUCUUUACUCUUUUUUGUUUAUCAGUUUGUAUACCGCCGUCAUAAGAUUAUCUUAUGGAGAGUUUAAAAUUUCUUUAAUUAAUAGUAAAGUUUAUGUCAGGUCAAGGUGCAGUUUAUGGAGGAGAAGAGAUGGAUUACAAUAAUAAUAUUUAUUACGGAUGAAAUGUUUAAAUAAUUCUDGAAGGKGGAUUUGAUUGUAAAUUUAUUAAUAUAUUAAAUUGAUUAGGGCUCUAAAAUGKGUACACAUCGCCCGUCGCUCUCGUAUUUAAUAUGAG
rnacentral:rRNA from 1 species